UACGUAGGGUGCAAGCGUUAAUCGGAAUACUGGGCGUAAAGCGUGCGCAGGCGGUGAUGUAAGACAGUUGUGAAAUCCCCGGGCUCAACCUGGGAACUGCAUCUGUGACUGCAUCGCUGGAGUGCGGCAGAGGGGGGAUGGAAUUCCGCGUGUAGCAGUGAAAUGCGUAGAUAUGCGGAGGAACACCGAUGGCGAAGGCAAUCCCCUGGGCCUGCACUGACGCUCAUGCACGAAAGCGUGGGGAGCAAACAGGA
rnacentral:rRNA from 1 species